rnacentral:rRNA from 1 species
UACGGAGGGUGCAAGCAUUAAUCGGAUUUAUUGGGCGUAAAGGGCGCGUAGGCGGGAGCGUAAGUCAAAUGUGAAAUCCCGGGGCUCAACCCCGGAACGGCAUUUGAGACUGCGCUUCUUGAGGGUAGGCGGAGAAAAUGGAAUUCCACGUGUAGCGGUGAAAUGCGCAGAUAUCAGGAGGAACACCGGUGGCGAAGGCGGUUCUCUGGGCCUUACCUGACGCUGAGGAGCGAAAGCGUGGGGAGCAAACAGG